rnacentral:misc_RNA from 1 species
CAGCGCGAGGAGUCGCGCCUGCACUUGAGCGGGCAUCAUGCAUCCCUCACCUCACACAGCGAUGCACGCUGGCAGAAAGACACCGCAGCUGUUUCGACGAGGCAGCAGAACCAACGGUAGGAGCGCGAGAAAGUAGCAUGCUAUAGCGGAGAAGUGCAAUGUGCUAGGGUCUUCAGCAGACCAUACCCACUACACCCUCCUUAUGUUUUUUUUUUUUAAACCUCACCGCAGCGCACUUUCUCACAUCCGCACGCCCCCUCCUUCCCUCUUUCUCUCUUCUUAGCGCGCACCGCUGCUGCUGCUGCUGCUGCUGUCGACGGCAGCCGAAGGCUCCUCUCCAUCUUCAUCUCGCCUUGCCGCUCCUUCGCUCUCGCUCUCAGCCGCCUCCACAGCAGCGAGGAGGGUGCGCAGCUCCACAUCUGCGGCACCGGAGUCGCGUCAAGGUCCUUAUGCCCACGUCGGGUGCCGGGCGCUCCUCGGGGGUGGAUGAGGUACCGCAGCUGCAGUCGUCGCCCGCGCAGUGACACCCGUCCAUCACCAGCGUGGCCCCUCCCUCAAGUCGCACACCUUAUCGCUUCAUCGAGGCCGGUACGCGGACAGCCUCACCACAGAUGGCGGGCGCUCUCCCAGCGAGACGGACUGCUCUGGCCGCCACAGCUUUGCAGGGUGCGUGCCGAUGAGCAGGGUGGCGCGCUGGCUGAAGGGUUUGCCGCCGGAUUCAGAGUCGAACCUUUCGUUGGGCGGAGAGACUGAGAACAAGGGUUGAAUUCUCACCGAAUGUGAUCUCGUCGAUCCGGUAGAGGAACACUGAGAAGUCCCGCACUGCCUUGCCGCCCUGGCGCCGUGCGGCCCAUCGGCGGAGGCACCCGUGAUGGAAGACCAAAGGAGCAGAAGACGCGCGUCAAGGCUCGGUACCAGCAAAGUGGCGUCGCAGUCUGGCUUCUUGCUGGGCUCGUGUUGCGUUGCCGCUGACACGUGUGUGCGUGCGUGUAUCAGCGUUUUUGCGUGUGCUGGUGCACAUGCGGCCGCUGCUGUUUCUUUUAACCAUCAUCUUUUCCGUAUAUUUCGACCUCGCUCUCUUUGCGUGUGCCUGCGUAUCCGUGUGAGUGGGUGCGCUGCUUACUUGUCUUUGCGCCCUGAUUGUGGCCCCCUCCCCCCCCCGGCGGCUCCGCAUUCUGUUCUGUGCUCUCCCUCUUUGGGCUCGUCUCGCUCUCGCAAUGCCAGUGACGCGGGUGAGGGGAUGGAAGGUCGUUCUCGAUGCGCAUGCGCCUCCCUUCACCCCUCCCAUACUACCACCACCCUUCCGCACGGUGCACGGCCUCCUGUCCCUCUCUCUGUCCUUUUCCUUCAGUCGAUGAGAGCAGGCGAUGCAUUUGUUGUCUUCCGUUUCGCUGUCUCCGCGGUGCGCAGUGUGCGGUGAGGGGAGGCGGCGGCGAUGGCGGGCCGAAGACGAAGCUGAAACUAAAGGGGCGUAACGUAGGAAUUCGUGAGCACAAGAGAAGUGCCACCUUGAGGCAGUGAAGGCGGAUCACCAAAACAGCGACGGUGCUCUCCUGUAUGUGCGGGAGGCUGAUGGGGAUAGGGAAGAUUAACAGGGGGAGCAGAGCCGGGGAGCAAUCACGUCACCCCUGCUGACGCCUCCCUCGCUCCCUUACCACUUCAUCUCUUUUUUUCUGCGAAGCGUGAACGCUGAGUUUCCUCGAAAACAGCGAAAGUGUCUUGAUCAACCG